CAGCCGCCGCGGUAAUACGAAGGGGGCUAGCGUUGCUCGGAUUUACUGGGCGUAAAGGGCGCGUAGGCGGACAGUUUAGUCGGGGGUGAAAGCCCGAGGCUCAACCUCGGAAUUGCCUUCGAUACUGGCUGUCUUGAGUACGGGAGAGGUGAGUGGAACUCCGAGUGUAGAGGUGAAAUUCGUAGAUAUUCGGAAGAACACCAGUGGCGAAGGCGACUCACUGGCCCGUUACUGACGCUGAGGCGCGAAAGCGUGGGGAGCAAACAGGAUUAGAUACCCCCGUAGUCCCUGUCUCUUAUAC
rnacentral:rRNA from 1 species